CCUGCUGAACCCUGGCGGCCCGCUCUGCACCUGCACUGUUAUUCGCAUUCUCGGGCGCUCCCCUGUUCCUAAACGGUCCCGGAGGCAAGGACACGGGCGGGAGCGGCCGAGAAACCCCGCGGCCUCGGAAGUCCAGAUAGGGAGCGGGCUGGGGCCCUUUCACUUUUUGAAUCUAGUGCGGCCGAGGUGACUGCUUAGCCUAAGCCCUCCCCCUCCCCUCCCCGCUUACCCUGCUGUAGUCUGGCGGAGAGAAAUGCAAACCGUGAUGGGUUUGCUUCAGCUUGUAUUUUAGCCAUUUGAUAAAAGCAGUAAUUAGGGGCCAGGGCCAUAACUCAAUGAUAGAGUGCUUGCCUACCAUGCCCAAGGCCGUAGGUUCAAUCCCUAAUGCUGUAAGGAGAGGAAAGGGGGGAAAGUGGUAACCAAACAAAACUAAGGAAAAUAAAGCCAUCUGUACCCCGAAGGAGCAAUCCUCUAGAGCAAAAAAGCAUGCAAGGAAGAUUGUGUUUUAGCUCUAGGUACUGAGAAUUUUAACUACUUUAAAAGAAGGAAAUGUGUAUGGGUGUAUUUAUGUAGGUGUACCACGUGCAUGCUUAACCAUCUGUGUUUAGAGGUGGACUCUAGAAGGUUGUAGGAGGACUGCAAGUAUUAACAAGCACAGACAGUAGUGUAUCAGGAAGUUUAACCAUAGCUUUUCUGAUUGAUCUCUCCAAUUGCUGUUUGCAGUUGAUAAUUUUUACACCUGGAACAAAUGAAAAGUUGGCCAUUUUCAAACUAGUGACACAGAUCAGACAUGAAAGAUAUUAGUAUUCUGACGCCGCGUCUGCAUGGUGUGUUACACCCGCCGCAGGGCACCUUGGCUCUACCCGCCAAGGCCCGCGCUCUGUAUCAUUACCAAAGAAUUUAGUCCUUCCGAUGAUGAUUUAUUCUGCGUAGACCCUGCUCCAAAAUGAUAGAAUACAGCGUGGGCAAGUGGCUCGUGCCUUGCCCCCCAAAUUGUGAGAAUUAGCAUAUGUACACAAGGAAGUAGAAAGAACGCACUUGGCUAAAAUAACUGCAAAAACAUGCGAGUUGCCUAGCCCAGUUUCAGAAACAGCACCGUACCAGAAGGGCUAAAGAGCAUCUUGUAUGCCUCCCCACUGGCACCUCCUCUUUUCUGUGCUCAAGUAGUCUUGUUUCAGCCUUUGAGAUAUUUAUUACUUCUACAUUAUUUCCCUAUCUAGCCACUCACCUAUAUAUAUUUGUAAAACGUUUUUGGUUUUGCUGAUAUUUUAAGAUUUAUUGAGGUCUAACUGACAUAUAAUAAACUGCUUAUAUUUCAAACGUGACAUCCCACUACAUAUGACUGUGAGAACACACAUGAUAGUGCAUAUAUCCAUCACCUUAUAAAUCUUUACCUUGCCUUUCUGUAAUCUCCCACGUGACCCCCUUCACAUCCCCUUAAGUAUCAGAUUUGCUUUCUAUCAUCUACUUGGCAUUUUCUCUAUUUUAUAUAAAUGAAAUAAUGCAAUAUAUACUUUUGAUUGUCUUUUUUCCCUUCACAUAAGUAUUUUAAGAUCCAUGUUAUGUGUUCUUUACUUUUUAUUGACAAGUAGUAUUCCACUGCAUGAGAAUGUUUAUUCAUUUGUGGAUGGGUUAAUUACUUUUCAGUGAAAGUUAUUAUGUGUAAAGCUGCUAAGAACAUUGGUCAAAAAAAAACUUUGUAUGGACAAAGGCUGAUUUUUACAAAGAGUUUUCUGCAGUUUAAAGUUUGUUUUAGCAUGGGAAGGCUGUUGUUUAUUAUUUUAUUUUCUUUACAUCCUCACCAGCAAACAUGGUUGACCUGGUGGAUCUGAAAUGGAUCUCAUGUGACUUCAAUUUGCAUCUUACUCAGUAUAGUUGGACAUCUUUUUUUGUAUUUAUAGAUUUUUUUUUUUUUUUGGUUGCAGAAACUCAUGUUGUAUUUAAUGGUGUUCUUUGCUAAACAAAAUCUGACCUAAAUGUGAUUCAGAAUGAUGAGUCCUGUUUUUCCUUUUGGUUUUGGUCUGCUAUAAGGGGUCCUUCUAAUCACCUCUGCCUCAAAACCUGCGCUUGAACUCUAGUACCUUCUCGGCCCACUGUGGAUAGCUGGACGCUGGUUAAAGGGUCACCUCAGCUUCGUUGUAUUGUAAAGCAGGUGCUAGGAUUGUGGCACACAGCAGGCUCAGCUGUCUUCCUUUCCAAUGCUAACAUUCAAGCUGCAAUUCUCCCAAUUCUCCUGCUUCAGCUACAGUCUGCAAUUUCUGGUAUGUUGUUUUCAUUGUUCUUGAAGUUUAAAAUGCUUCUGAAUUUUUCUUUUAUUUUUUUCCUGACUUCUAUUAAAUAACCAGCUAUUUUUAAUUUCAUUUCAACCCCUUAGCACUUUAGCUGCACCUCUUUGCAUUCAUAUUCAGUGGUUCCCCUAAGGUUAAUAUUCAUCUUGAACUGAUUUUCAGAGUCUGUGUUUAAACUUUGUACUGCUUAUGUAAAACAUAACCCACGCACAACCUAUUUUUGUACUGGCCAAAUAGUGUCUUCUACCAAUUCUGCUUGUCCCAUAGUUUGGUAUAAAAUGCAGUCUGGGGCUGGCCAGGUAGCUCGGCAGGUUGCGGUGCAUGCCACCACUGGCAACCUGAGUUCAGGCCUCAGGCCUGUAUAUGAUAGGAAAAACCCACUGACAGUGGGUCCCCUGACACUGAGCUCCCCGGUGUGGCUGGCAAGUUUACACACAUACAGUGAACAGAUGUCACAAAAAUAAAAUGUAGCCUGGUUUAUCUUUUCAGUACUGAACCAGACGUUGGUUUUUAAUAACCCCUUUCCCCGGUUUUCUUGGUAAAGAAGGAAUACCUUUUUAAGAAUGUACUGUUUUGUUUGAGAGUUCCACUAUUUCAUGCAGACUGUCCUCCAGCUCCUGGAUUCAGGCGACUAGUCCUUCUACCUCUGCUUUUCCCGCUGCUGGAGCUACCAGCAGGAGCCUCUGCACAUGGCUUGAUUCUGCUUAUCAUUAAACAUGUCUGCUGCAGACUGGCAAGAACCUUACAAAGCAGUUUUAAAUGGUUGGCUUCUAGUUUUUGUUUUGCAGAUCUUGUAGAUACCAAUUUUUAAGAUGUUGAAACCUAUUACCAGUUGAACAGGUAAUCCUCCCAAGCAUCGAAUCCUGGUCAGCUGCUCAAUGUAUCCAACUCUGGUCACCAUAUUGAAAAGUGCAGCUCACACUUGUUACUCUUGUCUCCCACACUAGAAAUGAGUUUCUGGUAAUUAGGGCUCUUUUAAAGAGUCUUGGUGUUUUUAUUUUUUGAAAUUAUAUUACUUCCUCCUUUUUUUGUCCUCUUUCCCCUUACUCUUUCCAAUUCAUGGCUGUUUUAUGUCUGUGUAUAUUCCUAAAUAUAUAAGUAAAUCUGCUCAGUCUGUAUGUUAUUUAUAUGUGUAUGUAUGCUUGUACAAUACCACUUGGUAUUGUGUAACCAACUGGUGUGUUCUUCCCUGGGGAAGACUUUUUCCUGAUCUCAACAUUUCUUAGUUGCCUGUAGUUUUUUGUUUUUUUUAAACUAGGGUUAAGGCAUUGUGAACUUUCCCCCUCCCAUGUUAACAUGUCUUUUGGUGGUGUUCUUGUUCAGUUCAUGUUUAGGCAGUUAUGUUCAUGAGACUUCAUGGAUACAUAGCUUCUGUGACAUCAGGCUCCUUGUAUUUUCACUGAUAUAAUCAAGUGUGUGGCAUAUAUUAGGUGGUUAGAAUUUGUUGAAAUAGUGACUGUCAUUUCUACUUAGUUGUUUCAUGGGUGUGUGAUUACUGCAUUCCACUGUUUCCUAAAUACUAUCAUUCAUUCCCCCAGGAUUCAUACCAGAAGUAUAGCUGUAUGUCCCCAUAAUCUUGUAUUUAUUCACAGUUCACUCUUUGAGUAACUAAGCAUCUGCUAUGGAACACGUUAAAUAACCCCUGCCUGUUGCUGGAGUUAUCUCCAGUCCCACUCGGGCCUGCAGCUACUCAGUGUAUAUAUUUAAUUUAUAUAUGGUGAUAUUUUAUUUGUGCUGAAAUGUGAUUUUAUUUGUAUGUUAACAAAUAAAGUUGCCUGGAGAUCAGAGGUCAAAGCGAGCCAUAAGCAGAGUUAGGCGGUGGUAGCACAUGCCCUUAAUCCGAUCACAUGGCAGGCGGAGUCUCGGUGUGGUCAAGGACACAGCCAAGCUUGGUGACACGAACCUUAAAUCCCAGUAACAACCAUAGACCUGGAGGUCUGUAUAGACAGGCAGUGACAAAGUCAUGUGGUUGGGUUUAGAGCCAAUGAGAAGGCAGAACAGAAAGGCAAUAAAAACACAAGUCAAGCAGGAAGAGGUCUCUCUCUGUGGGGAAGCUACUUCUGGUGGUAAGCUAAAGCUAGUCGUAGCUACUGCUCUGAUCUCUUUGGCUUUUUCCUCUGUAUUUGGCUCUGUGUUUCUUAUUAAGACUGUUUAGUAAAUAAGGCUGUCAAAUAAAGGUGAUUGAAAAUAAAGGCAGAGAGGAGUUAGUGGGCAAAAAGGACCUCUAUUUUGAUUGUCUGGUAAAGGCCUAAGGAGAGUGAAGGGAAAGUCACAGAGUGGGAGUGACCCUCAGCAGAAGUCACAGCAAGUGUGAAACAUCCCCAAGUUCAAAUAGAACAUAAGCACGCCUACCUGAGCAAAGCCACCAUAGCUUUCUUUCCUCAAUGCCACGGUUUUCCAUCCCAUAAUACACACUUUUCACCUUUACAAAUUCAAGUUGGACCAUUUUUAUUCUUCUCAAGUAUCUGAUAAUGUCUGAACAUAUAUGAUUGCAGUUUUAACUGUUCUCUGCUAAUUUUAUAAUCAGUGUUAGUUUGGGGCUGGUCUAAUUUCACUGGUCUUUCUCCAUUUCCUGCUCUCUGACCCACAUAGCAAUUAACAAGAUUCCAUCUAAUUAUGUAUAUGCAUUGGUCUGUGUAUGGAUAUGUGCACCUGUGAGCCCAUAAGUGCUGUCAAAUCCCCUGGAUCUAGAGUUACAGGGAGCCUGACAUGGGCGCUUGGAAUUGAACUUGGGUCCUCUCCAAGAGUAGUUAGUAUGUGCUCUUAACAAUUGUUGAUUGGCCACACAUUGGGAACUUUAUUUGCUGGGUAUUAGAUAUUUUUGUUAUUUCUAUAAAUAUUCUUUCUCUGAAAGGCUGUUACAAUAGUCAGUUUGAUCCUAUGUGAAACAGGAUGGCAUGUGUGUGGACAGAAAGCAAAGGGUCCUGGAGGAUCGGAACUAGAGCCAGAGAUGAGCUUACCAGUGUUAGAACAGGAGAUUUAAACAAGAAGCAAAACUGAAAGUAACCAUGCCGGGCAGUUGUAUCACAAGCUAAGUCAUUUCUGGAAGAGGGAACAUCAAUGAGAACACACCCCACCCCUUCCCCACUAUGCCUGUGGUGCAUUUUCUUGAUGUGGGAGGGCCCAGCUCACUGUAGGCUGUGCCACCCAUGGGCAGGUGGUCCUGUGAUGUACAGGAGAGCAGGCUGAGCACGCUAUAAGGAGCAAGCCAAGAGAGAUCAGUCCUCCAAGGCAUCUGCAUCAGAUCCUGCCACCAGGUUCCUGCCCUGUUGGAGUUCCUUCCCUGACUUCCUUCAGUGAUCUACUGUGCUGUUGGACUCUGUAAGCUGAAAUAAACCCUUUCCUCCUCAA